AUUGAACGCUGGCGGCAUGCUUUACACAUGCCAGUCGAACGGUAACAGGCCUUCGGGUGCUGACGAGUGGCGCACGGGUGAGUAAUGCAUCGGAACGUGCCCAGAGGUGGGGGAUAACGCAGCGAAAGCUGUGCUAAUACCGCAUGUGAUCUGAGGAUGAAAGCGGGGGACCAAGCAGCAAUGUUUGGCCUCGCGCCUCUGGAGCGGCCGAUGUCAGAUUAGGUAGUUGGUGGGGUAAAGGCCUACCAAGCCGACGAUCUGUAGCUGGUCUGAGAGGACGACCAGCCACACUGGGACUGAGACACGGCCCAGACUCCUACGGGAGGCAGCAGUGGGGAAUUUUGGACAAUGGGCGCAAGCCUGAUCCAGCAAUGCCGCGUGCGGGAAGAAGGCCUUCGGGUUGUAAACCGCUUUUGUACGGAACGAAAAGGCUCUGGCUAAUACCUGGGGCUGAUGACGGUACCGUAAGAAUAAGCACCGGCUAACUACGUG
rnacentral:rRNA from 1 species